CUAAUUCCUGUAUCUGAGUCUAAAACCUCAGCCCCCUU
rnacentral:tRNA from 1 species